UACGAAGGGGGCUAGCGUUGCUCGGAAUCACUGGGCGUAAAGCGCGCGUAGGCGGCUAAUUAAGUCGGGUGUGAAAGCCCCGGGCUCAACCUGGGAAUUGCAUCCGAUACUGAUUGGCUAGAGUAUGAGAGAGGGAGGUAGAAUUCCACGUGUAGCGGUGAAAUGCGCAGAUAUCAGGAGGAACACCAACGGCGAAGGCAGCUCUCUGGGACGUUACUGACGCUGAGACGCGAAAGCGUGGGGAGCAAACAGG
rnacentral:rRNA from 1 species